rnacentral:rRNA from 1 species
GAUGAACGCUGGCGGCGUGCCUAAUACAUGCAAGUCGAGCGAACAGAUGAGGAGCUUGCUCCUCUGACGUUAGCGGCGGACGGGUGAGUAACACGUGGAUAACCUACCUAUAAGACUGGGAUAACUUCGGGAAACCGGAGCUAAUACCGGAUAAUAUAUUGAACCGCAUGGUUCAAUAGUGAAAGACGGUUUUGCUGUCACUUAUAGAUGGAUCCGCGCCGCAUUAGCUAGUUGGUAAGGUAACGGCUUACCAAGGCAACGAUGCGUAGCCGACCUGAGAGGGUGAUCGGCCACACUGGAACUGAGACACGGUCCAGACUCCUACGGGAGGCAGCAGUAGGGAAUCUUCAGCAAUGGGCGAAAGCCUGACGGAGCAACGCCGCGUGAGUGAUGAAGGUCUUCGGAUCGUAAAACUCUGUUAUUAGGGAAGAACAAAUGUGUAAGUAACUAUGCACGUCUUAACGGUACCUAAUCAGAAAGCCACGGCUAACUACGUG